AUUCUUAACUAGCAGGGGAUAUACCAUGAUCAAGAAGGUAGUUUUCUCAGAGUGAGGUUUAUCCAUUGUGCUCUGAUGUGCUGAUCCCAAAUGCAGGAAACUCGACUGCAUAAUUUGUGAUAGUGGGGCACUGCCUCC
rnacentral:snRNA from 1 species